rnacentral:lncRNA from 1 species
CCUAUGGACUUGUCUUAUCCCAGGUUCCUUAGAAAUAGGAUAAUGGGUCUGCUGUGGUUUGAAUGCAUUUCUGCCAAAAUUCAGGUGUUGAAACUUCAUGGCCCAUGUGAUCAAAUUAAAAGGCAAGGCCUUUAGGAGGUGAUGACAAGGCUGUGAGGGCUCCUCCCUUGUGAAUGGAAGAGGCACCAUCACAGUAUCCGGCUUGCCUGCCCUUCUGCCUUCCCUGAGGACGCAGGGCUCCUUCUCUCCAGAGGAUGCAGCAAGAAGGCACUGCAAAGGGAAAUAAAAAUCUCGGGUCACAUAUGCACCACGGAAUACUAUGCAGCCAUAAAAAAGAAUGAGUUCAUGUCCUUUGCAGGACAUGGGUGAAGCUGGAAACCAUCAUCCUCAACAAACUAACACAGGAACAGAAAACCAAACACUGCAAGUUCUCACUCAUAAGUGGGAGUUGAACAAUGAGAACACGUGGACACAGGAAGG